rnacentral:lncRNA from 1 species
AAACCAUUGUCUAUAUCAUUUCAAUAUAAAUUUUAAAAGUAGAAAGGCUUGUUCAAUCUUUUUCUCAAAAUUAUUCUUUUCUUUAUUUGAUUAUAACCUAAUAUAUAAAAUAACUUUCUUGUAUCAUUAUACUAUUAUAGAUAUUUUUUAAUAUUUUUUUUAUUAUUAUACAUUUCAUUUCUUGUAUUUUGAAUAUAGUUAUUAUACAUCAUAUCUUAUAGUGGA